UACGUAGGUGGCAAGCGUUAUCCGGAUUUAUUGGGCGUAAAGGGAACGCAGGCGGUCUUUUAAGUCUGAUGUGAAAGCCUUCGGCUUAACCGGAGUAGUGCAAUGGAAACUGGGAGACUUGAGUGCAGAAGAGGAGAGUGGAACUCCAUGUGUAGCGGUGAAAUGCGUAGAUAUAUGGAAGAACACCAGUGGCAAAAGCGGCUCUCUGGUCUGUAACUGACGCUGAGGUUCGAGAGCGUGGGUAGCAAACAGG
rnacentral:rRNA from 1 species